rnacentral:sRNA from 1 species
CCUCGUCGAUCUGCUGCGGGCAGAUGAAGUGGAUGUGCACGUCGAGCGCGCCGGCGGUGACGAUCUUGCCUUCCGCCGCGAUCGCCUCCGUCCCCGGACCGAUCACGAUGUCGACGCCGGGCUGGACGUCGGGGUUGCCGGCCUUGCCGAUCGCCGCGAUGCGGCCGUCCUUCAGCCCGAUAUCGGCCUUGUAGAUGCCGGUGUGAUCGACAAUCACGGCAUUGGUGAUCACCGUGUCGACCGCGCCUUGCGCGCGGGUGCGCUGCGACUGGCCCAUGCCGUCGCGGAUG